GGGAUAGAAUUCCAGGAGUAGCGGUGAAAUGCGUAGAUAUCUGGAGGAAUACCAAAGGCGAAGGCAGUCCCCUGGUCCGAUACUGACACUGAGGUACGAAAGCGUGGGGAGCAAACGGGAUUAGAUACCCUGGUAGUCCACGCCCUAAACGAUGUCGAUUAGCCAUUGGAAGGACCCCUUUUCCUUUCAGUGACGUAGCUAACGCGUUAAAUCGACCGCCUGGGAAGUACGACCGCGAGGUUAAAACUCAAAGGAAUUGACGGGGACCUGAACAAGCGGUGAAUGAUGUGGAUUAAUUCGAUGCUACGCGAAGAACCUUACCUACCUUUGACAUGGCCAAAGUUCUACCGAGAGGCGGAAGUACUCGUAAGAGGAUUGGCGCACAGGUGCUGCAUGGUUGUCGUCAGUUCGUGUCGUGAGAUGUUGGGUUCAGUCCCGCAACGAACGCAACCCUUAUCUUUAAUUGCUCCUAUUCUAACAGGCACUUUAAAGAAACUGCCAAUGAUAAGUUGGAGGAAGGUGGGGAUCACGUCAAGUCCGCAUGGCCUUUAUAGGUAGGGCUUCACACGUCAUACAAUGGUUAGAACAAAGAGCUGCAAAUUCGUAAGAAGGAGCCAAUCUCACAAACCUAACCUCAGUUCGAAUUGCGGUCUGCAACUCGAGCGCAUGAAGCCGGAAUCGCUAGUAAUCGUGGAUCAGAAUGCCACGGUGAAUACGUUCUUAGGUCUU
rnacentral:rRNA from 1 species